rnacentral:pre_miRNA from 1 species
UAGCAGCACGUAAAUAUUGGCGUAGUAAAAUAAAUAUUAAACACCAAUAUUAUUGUGCUGCUUUA